UCCAGCUUGCAUUUCCUAAGUGUUUGGUUGCUAGGUGUAUUAGCGUCCUAUCUGUGUACGGUUGCUAGCUAAUGGCUAGCUGGCUAAAAGCAGGGUAAACAUAUGCCGUGUCGAAAAUGGAUCAUAUAAGUUCCAGUUCCGGAUGAGCACGCUGAAACGAUAUAAACCUCUAUUUACCAAAUGCAUAUGUGAAAGGUAGGUGUUUUGAAGUUUUGGGGCACUCACAUGAGUUCCAGGGAGGCAGCCAAGAUGGGGGACAUCUUGGCAACUGAAGCCGAUCUUCUUGGGAUGAUCAAGGAGUACCUUAAGUUUGAGGAAUUUGAAGAGACUGUUCACAGUUUGGAAAAGGACUGCAAAAGCAAAGGCAAGCUCGUCUCAAAGCCUCAAGGAAGUACUCUCAGAGACUCAAAGACUCGUGUUAUCCAGAAAGACCUCCUUGGCUGUUUUGACGACGGAGACCACAAAGUGUUCUUUGAACUGUGGACUGAGAAUAUUCCCUCUGAGGUUAAAGACACGGAUGCUGAGGCCCAGAGCCUGGAGUUCUACCUCUACAUCCACUUCACCAUCUUCCCACUGAGGAGGCACCCUGGUAGACAUGACCGGGCUGAUUUUGAGGAGAGGAUUUCCCACUUUAAGCAGUACCUGGAGACUCGCGGAGCGUCAUUGAGCCAGACCGCAGAGUUCCUGCCUUACUAUGCUUUGCCUUUUGUUCCAAACCCCACUGUCCAUCCCUCCUUCAAAAAUCUUUUCCAGGAUUCCUGGAUACCACAGUUGAAAGAUAAGCUGGAGCGGUUUCUGUCGGUGACACUGAAGUCAUCCAACACCCCACGGCUGCUGAAUUUAUAUAAGGAGGGAGGAAGGAGCACUAAAGAGGCCAUACAGCAGUUACAGCUCCAGCUGGUGGAAUCAGACAGACGCAUAAAUAGCUACGUACGGAAGUUCAACAAGAUGCAGGCCGACUACCACAACCUGAUUGGAAUCACGGCUGAGCUGGUCGACUCGUUGGAGGCCACUGUCAGCGGAAAAAUGAUCUCCCCUGAGUACCUGCAGAGUGUGUGUGUCCGCCUGUUCAGCAGCCAGAUGAGGCAGAGCGUGGUGCAGAGCACUGACUUCACCAGACCUGGCACUGGAUAUUACUCUAUGAGUCCCUAUGAUGACGGAUAUGCCUCCUCGUUGCUUCGAGCUUCCAUUGCACCACAGAGACCCAAAGAGGUGCCAAUGCUGCCCUCACUGGACUAUGAAAAGUUAAAGAAAGACCUGGUUGAAGGCACCGACAGGCUCAGGGCUCUGCUGCUUCAGGCGCUGCGCUGGAGACUGACUCGCUCUCUGCCUGGUGAGCAAAGAGACACCAUGCUUCAGGCCUUCAUCAGCAACGAUCUGCUGGAGCGCUACAGCACAAAACAGAAAACUGUGCUUCAUUUAAUGAGCUCCAGGAACGAGAUUGUCCGCCAAUACAUGGCUCGUCUCAUCAAUGCGUUCGCUUCCCUUGCAGAGGGUCGGGUUUACCUCUCCCACAUCCCCAUUCUGCUGAAACGUCUGACAGAGGCGCUGAGGAUGGAGGAAAAAGACUCCGUAACGAGAGAGAACGUGCUAGUGGCGCUGCAGAAGCUCAGCCUCAGGAGGAGCCAGCAGACGGCCAUGAUAGCAGACGAUCUGAUUGGCUGGCUGGUGGAUGAGCUGCAGGACUCUGACUGCCUGAGCGACUACACCCUGGAGUACUCUGCUGCUCUGCUCAUGAACCUGUGUCUGCGAACAAAAGGAAAAAGGAAGUGUGCGGAGAACGCCAAGCAUGUGCUCAAGGUUCUAACCGACCUCCUUGGACACGAGAACCACGAGAUUCGGCCAUAUGUGAAUGGAGCCCUGUACAGUAUCCUGUGUAUUCCCUCUGUGAGACAGGAAGCCAAAGAGAUGAGUGUGGAGGAGAUCCUCCGCUGCUACAGCAAAGAGGAGAACCCAGACCUCAACAGACAGAUUAAGUUCAUCCUUAAACAGCUAAACUCAGCUGAUGAUGAGGGGCCAGAAUCAGAUGAUGAAGAAGAGGAUGAUAAUGAUGAAGAUCUAAUGGAGACAGAACUUGAAAUAGAGGAAGUUCUCCAGCCACAGCCAAGGGAACUGUCUGGAGAGAGUCUGCUCACCACUGAGUACCUCGGAAUCAUGACCAACAUGGCGAAAGUGAAGAGGAAGUCGACCCCUGUGCUGCCAGCAAGUGGUGAUGAACCCCUGCAACGGCCAGUCACCCCUAGCUCUCAUCGUAACGUCAAUGCAAUCGAGGAAGGAAGUCUGCCUCCUUCUCGAUACAACUCCCGCCCCCCCACACGCUCGGGCAGUCGCCCCAGCACUGCUGACUCCCUGCGUCACAGUAUCGACUCGGAGUGCGGCCGGCUGUCCCAGGAGUCAGAGUUGGACGGGCCAUAUGAAGGGCAAGCCAGAAAAGUACAUUCCCAGGAGGAACACAAUGGACACUCUGCCAGAUAACGCUUCGUGAUUCAUCACCAGUGGUGCUCACGCACAACCAGUGCUCCUGUGUUGCAGGAACUGUUUUGUGCAAUCACACAGUAGCAUUGCUGUUCCAAACAGCACACUACAAUGAACUGAACAUGCCAGUUGUGCCACCUGUGCAUAGCUGUACUGAAUCGGAACAGCAAUGGCACAAGCCGCGAACAAUGGGUGUGAAGCCAGGGCCCAUCAACUCCAUGGUCUUCACCAAGCCUGUACCAAAUAGGAUGGUGCAGACUGGAGUAAGGAGUGGAUUCUACAGAGGCAUGGUGGGGCCAUUACCAGAUCCCUGCCUGUUCAGAGUUACGGAGGCAUACUCAGCAUUCAGCAUUGAAGACAGGCCGCUUGUGACCACAAUGAACAUGAGACCUGACAAGCCCCUUGUGGAAAGUGCCUUCGGGAUUGUGCAGGAGGGCAGUGUUCUGUCCUAUCAGAUGCCUGCUUUGACGUCUCGGUACACCACACUUCACACUGACACACCACCAACACCCCACUUGCCCAUAGAGGGGUAUGUGAUCUUGCCAUGUGAUUUACCGCUGGUGUGCUCAGAAGAGGAGCAACUACAUAUGAACAGCUUAUCUGUUGAUUUGGAAAUGUCUCACAAAAUUGAGGAGGCUACCCGUGAGCAAAGCUCUAGCUCAGAGUGGCAUCUGCUCCGCAAACCCAGCGUUACUGCCUCUAGGUUUAGAGAGAUUUGUCACGUCAGAGGUGAGAGCUCUGCUAACUCUCUUGCAGAGCGAAUACUCAAAGGUACAAGGCAGACUGCAGAAAUGAGGAGAGGUGCCGAGAUGGAGCCCACAGUAGCAGCUGAAUACAGUAGACUGGCGAACGUGAACUACUCCCCUUGUGGCCUUGUCAUUCACCCCUCUACGCCCUGGCUUGGUGCCUCCCCUGAUGGAGUUGUUUUUGACCAACAGAAUAUCCCCAAUUUGGCCUUGUUGAAUUCAAAUGUCCCAAUGUCCCAAAUUAUGUCGACUGCAAAUAUGUGCAGAUAGAAUGUGGCUCCCCUAAGCUCAAGAAAAGCCAUGCCUAUUACUGGCAAGUACAGAGUCAACUUCUUGUAUCUGGGAUGCAGUGGUGUGAUUUUGUAGUGUGGGCACAAGAGGACUACCUGGUGCAAAGAAUAUACACAGAUCCAGAAGUGCAAAGAGCAAUCAGAGAAAAAGUAGACUUUUUUUUUUACACAUACAUGCCGAAGUACCUGUCAUUAAAAAAGUAGUGGGCACUGUAGCCAUUGUUAACUCUGUAAGCAGUUAGCUGCUAGACCCUGGAUCAGCCAUCAUUGUUUUUAGGAGGCAAUCCCUCAAUCAUGUGUUCUGAAUGACAACAAAAUGUGAUUUCAAUAUUUUGUUUUUGAUAUAUAUUGUUUGUCACAUUUCAUAUAUGUAAAUAAAUAUACAAUUGUAUUUAAAAA